AAUUAGAUGUCCGCCCCAUCAAUUGCGAUGGUAAGGUAGUGGCUUACCAUGGUUGCAACGGGUAACGGGGAAUCAGGGUUCGAUUCCGGAGAGGGAGCAUGAGAAACGGCUGCCAGAUCUAUGGAUUGCAGCAGGUGCGAAAAUUAUCCACUUUUGGCAUAAAGAGAUAGUGAUGAUAAAUAACGGAUCUGGGCAUUUGUUCAGAGAUCGUAAUGAAAUAAUCGUAAAAGCUUUAUUGAAAGCAAUUGGAGGGCAAGUCUGGUGCCAGCAGCCGCGGCAAUUCCAGUUCCAAUAGUGUAUACUAAAGUUGCUGCAGUUGAAAAGCUCGUAGUUGGAUCUCGGUUUGCUGGCGCACAAGGUGCGCAAGUAGGCCUGUGCUGUAGUUGAGUGCUACGGCUUUACCUUGAACAAAAUAGAGUGCUUAAGGCAAGCAUUCUGCUUGAAUAUCUCAGCAUGGAAUAAUAGAAAAAGACUUUCUAUUGGUUAGCCAGUGAAAGUAAUGAUUAACAGAGACAGACGGGGGCAUUCGUAUUGCACCGCUAGAGGUGAAAUUCGUAGACCGGUGCAGGACGAACUACAGCGAAAGCAUUUGCCAAGGAUGUUUUCAUUAAUCAAGAACGACAGUUGGAGUAUCGAAGUCGAUUAGAUCUCGUCGUAGUUCCAACUAUAAACGAUGCCAACUAGCACUCCGCUAAUAAUGUUUGUUACAUUAGCGGGUGGCUUCCGGGAAACCAAAGUCUUUGGGCUCCGGGGGAAGUAUGGUUGCAAAGCUGAAACUUAAAGGAAUUGACGGAAGGGCACCACCAGGAGUGGAGCCUGCGGCUCAAUUUGACUCAACACAGAAAAACUCACCCGGGCCGAACACAGUAAGGAUUGACAGAUUGAUAGCUUUUUCUUGAUACUGUGGGUAGUGGUGCAUGGCCGUUGUUGGUUGGUGGAGUGAUCUGUCUGGUUAAUUCCGAUAACGAACGAGACUCAAGCCUGCUUAUAAGUUGGUCGAUUCUGGUCGAACAACUACUUAGAGGGAUCAGUGUAUAAAACACUUGAAAAUGAGCAAUAACAGGUCUGUGAUUGCCCUUAGACGUUCGGGGCUGCACGCGCGCUACAAUGAAGAAAGCAGUGGGUGACUUGCUUGAGAAGGCAAGCCAAACCUUAAAAUUUCUUCGUGGCAGGAAUCGAGGCUUGUAAUUAUUCCUCGUGCACAAGG
rnacentral:rRNA from 1 species